rnacentral:rRNA from 1 species
CCUACGGGCGGCUGCAGUGGGGAAUAUUGGACAAUGGGGGGAACCCUGAUCCAGCCAUGCCGCGUGUGUGAAGAAGGCCCUCGGGUUGUAAAGCACUUUCAGUGAGGAAGAACGCCUGGUGGUUAAUACCCAUCAGGAAAGACAUCACUCACAGAAGAAGCACCGGCUAACUCCGUGCCAGCAGCCGCGGUAAUACGGAGGGUGCGAGCGUUAAUCGGAAUUACUGGGCGUAAAGCGCGCGUAGGUGGCUUGAUAAGCCGGUUGUGAAAGCCCCGGGCUCAACCUGGGAACAGCAUCCGGAACUGUCAAGCUAGAGUGCAGGAGAGGAAGGUAGAAUUCCCGGUGUAGCGGUGAAAUGCGUAGAGAUCGGGAGGAAUACCAGUGGCGAAGGCGGCCUUCUGGACUGACACUGACACUGAGGUGCGAAAGCGUGGGUAGCAAACAGGAUUAGAUACCCCAGUAGUC